rnacentral:lncRNA from 1 species
AAAGUGUAAAUAUUUUACCAAUAGCGGAAAGUAAAGGCUUUCCUAGUUGGGACAGCAUAUAGGGAAACGUUAAGGAUUAUAGGCACCGGAGAGGUAACCCGGCUUGAGGGGUUGGUUAAAGGGAAAGGCGAGACUUAGGGCGAGACCGAGCGGGGCUAAUUGAGGCGACCCGGGGAGGGGCGGGACCGCGGACUGGAUUUCGACUUCCAAAUUCCCACGAGGUAUAGGAGUCUGAGGGUUGCACAGGACCUUAUGCAUUGUUUGACUCCUCCAGAGCCUUUAGAGAAACUUCUAUCAGGCCCGCCUGCUAGGCACUAGUCGGGGAGAUAAUGUAGCCAGGGAGAUGUGGCGGACAGAAAGGGCAGAGAGGCUCUCUGAGGAGCGGAUGGAGGAUCGUGGGCCGCUUUACUGAGAAGGAAGAGACCCUGCGAGAAGGAGUAGUGUCGACUUGGUCCCGUCAGCCGGACCCCACCUGGACGGCUGGGGCCACUUGUGGUCGCCGGGAGGGAAAAGAAACUAUCUGCAAAGGAAGAUUCUCAUGCACAGAUUGAAACCCUCUGAGAUAUCAACCCCCUAGCUUGGCCCGUGCAGGCUUUCUUUGCCUUUAAGAAGAUGAAAUUGUUACCAAAGCAGGAGAAGAAUGUCAGACACUCUGCAUGCUUGCCAGAGAGCUCGCUAGAGGACGUGCAGAAGGUCAAAGUCCUCCAUCACCAGAGCAAGUUCAGCCACCAGGCCCCUUAAGCACAGUGCCAAGAGCCUGUGAAAACAUGAAACCUUUGAAAAUAUGGGUGCCAAAAUAUAAAAACAAAGAAUGUAUGAAUAGUAUGAAAUCUUUAUAAAACAUAAUAUUGUCAGUUUCAUUCACUGUCAAAUUUAAUAUUCAAAAUAGUCUCAUUACAUUUAUAAAACUUG